GGUUGUAUAUAUAUAUAUAUAUAUAUAUAUAUAUAUAUAUAUAUAUAUAUAUAUAUAUGCUUUGGUGAUGGUGCUGUCUAACACAUUG